GCUCAGUGGUAGAGCACGUGCUUAACAUGCACGAGGUUCUGGGUUCAAUCCCCAG
rnacentral:tRNA from 1 species